GAAUUUGUCUUAAAAGGUUUGAUUGUGUUUUGUUGUUUUAUUUUGUCUGAUAAAUCAGAUAUACCUUCUGCUCAGUAAGAGAGCUUGAUUUAGGUAACAUUUACCGAAGUCAUAUUGGACCGUCUCUCUGCAGGUUUGUCCUGCAGCCCUGGGUUUCAUAACGUGGCACUGGCAUUUCCAUUGGGAAUGAUGAAUAAUCCAAUAUUUAGGCCUUUGAUACCAUUAUGUCACACUACUUGUUCCUUGACCCCAGCUUAUCGUCUCUUUUCGCAAUACAAUUACUUUUUCUCUCAACCUACCUUUCUAUCAAAUGCGCUGCAGAAUUAUAUCAAUUCUGAUAACCCUUACCAUGGCCAAAAGAUCCAUUCCCAGAUUCUGAAAUCUGGCUUUGUUCCAAACACUAACAUCUCCAUAAAGUUACUGAUAUUGUAUCUUAAAUGCAAUUGUUUAAGGUAUGCACGCCAGAUGUUUGAUGGUUUACAUGACAAAACUUUAACUGCAUAUAACUAUAUGAUCAGUGGCUAUCUCAAACAAGGGCAAGUAGAAGAGUCACUUGGCUUGGUGCAUAGGCUUUUAGUGUCUGGUGAAAGGCUUGAUGGGUUUACUUUUUCAAUGGUGUUAAAGGCAUCUACUUUGGGUUGUGGUGUUGCUAUGAUUAGUGAUCUAGGCAGAAUGGUACAUGCCCAUAUAAUCAAAUCUGAUGCUGAGAAAGAUGAAGUUCUUUAUACAUCACUAAUUGAUUCUUAUGUUAAGAAUGGGAGAGUUGCUUUUGCUAGGACUGUGUUCGAUGUGAUGUCUGAGAAGAAUGUGAUAUGUUCUACGUCCCUCAUCUCUGGUUACAUGGAUCAAGGCUCCACCAAGGAUGCAGAAUGUAUAUUUCACAGGACAUUGAACAAGGAUGUAGUGGUGUUUAAUGCAAUGAUUGAAGGCUACAGUCGAACAGCUGAAUUUGCCAUGAAAUCUCUUGAUGUUUACAUUGACAUGCAGAGAAUGAACUUCAGGCCAAAUAUGUCUACAUUUGCUAGCAUAAUUGGUGCUUGCUCAAUGCUUGCAUCAUUUGAAAUUGGUCAACAAGUACAAAGUCAGCUGAUGAAGACUCCAUUUUUUAUGAACAUUAAAUUAGGAAGUGCUCUUAUAGACAUGUAUUGCAAAUGUGGAAGAAUUGUAGAUGCCCGAAGAGUUUUUGACCACAUGCUUGAGAGGAAUGUAUUUACAUGGACAUCCAUGAUUGAUGGAUAUGGUAAGAAUGGGUUUCCUGAUGAAGCACUUGAGCUGUUCGAAACGAUGCAGAAGGAUGACUUUAUUGUACCCAAUUUUGUAACAUUCCUCAGUGCUCUCUCAGCUUGUGCACAUGCUGGGCUUGUAGAAAAGGGUUGGGAGAUCUUUGAGAGAAUGAACAAUGAGUACAUGGUAAAACCAGGGAUGGAGCACUAUGCUUGCAUGGUUGAUAUGUUAGGACGUGCAGGGAGGCUGAAUCAGGCAUGGGAAUUUGUCAUGAGGAUGCCUGAGAAGCCCAAUUCCGAUGUGUGGGCUGCUCUACUUAGUUCAUGCAGACUCCAUGGUAACGUGGAGAUGGCAAAAUUAGCUGCAGAUGAGCUUUUUAAGCUAAAUUCUGAUGGAAGGCCGGGGGCAUAUGUUGCACUAUCCAAUACUUUGGCUGAUGCUGGGAAAUGGGAUAGUGUUAGUGAGCUUAGGGAAAUAAUGAAAGAGAGGGGAAUAUCAAAAAACACUGCUCGCAGUUGGGUUGGAGCUGACAGUGUUUAUUAAUCCACACAUGCAGUUUCAAAUUUGUCACGAUGAAAUUAAAAAGCAAAACUGAAAAGUGCGCCAUGGAAAAGAAGAGGAAAAGGAAGCUGGAAAAAAUUGUUGACGUUGAGACAGAUAAUACAUUGAAUGCUGAAGUGGAUAAUGGAAUGCAAGUUGGAAAGGAGAAAAAGGAGAAAUCUUCUAUCAAUAGAAAGAGGAAGAAUAAAGAUAAAAAUCGUCGCAAGGGUGAAGUUGAUUUAGAGGAGAAUAGUGAUGGGAUUGUUCAUGACCAUCCUUCUGAAGCUCAAGAAAUCAAAGAUACUGAGGAGCAUGGAGAUGCUGAUACUGGAGCAGCCAUCAAAUCCCGUAA